UCGAUUAGUCUUUCGCCCCAUGCGCAGAUUUGACGAUCGAUUUGCACGUCAGAACCGCUGCGAGCCUCCACCAGAGUUUCCUCUGGCUUCACCCUAUCCACGCAUAGUUCACCAUCUUUCGGGUCCGAACAGUUAUGCUCUUACUCAAAUCCAUCCGAAGACAUCAGGAUCGGUCGAUGAUGCACCCGUAAGGGCUCUCACCUCCGUUCACUUUCAUUACGCUUGAGGGUUUAACACCCAAAAACUCGCAUAAAUGUUCGACUCCUUGGUCCGUGUUUCAAGACGGGUGGCUGAUGACCAUUAUGCCAGCAUCCUAGCCGAAGCGCGGUCCUCAGUCCCAGCGGCGGUAUUACACAGCAGGCUAUAACACUCCCGGGGGAGUCACGUUCCUGAAGUCUUUAUCCCGCCGCCGAAACUGAUGCUGGCCUCAACCAAGCGGAGUGCACCGGUGAGAACACCGGAUGAUCCGCAAGGCAAAGGUCUGGUCACAAGCCCUUCCCUUUCAACAAUUUCACGUACUAUUUAACCCUCUUUUCAAAGUGCUUUUCAUCUUUCGAUCACUCUACUUGUGCGCUAUCGGUCUCUGGCCGGUAUUUAGCUUUAGAAGAAAUUUACCUCCCAUUUAGAGCAGCAUUCCCAAACUACUCGACUCGUCGAAGGAGAUUUACAGAGGCUCGGCAUCCAACCGUACGGGGCUCUCACCCUCUAAGGCGUCCUGUUCCAAGGAACUCGGAAGGUACCUAACCAAAAUCAUCCUCUACAAAUUACAACUCGGACCCGAGGGCCAGAUUUCAAAUUUGAGCUGUUGCCGCUUCACUCGCCGUUACUAGGGCAUUCCUGUA
rnacentral:rRNA from 1 species